rnacentral:rRNA from 1 species
UACGAAGGGGGCUAGCGUUGCUCGGAAUUACUGGGCGUAAAGCGCACGUAGGCGGAUUGUUAAGUCGGGGGUGAAAUCCUGGAGCUCAACUCCAGAACUGCCUUCGAUACUGGCGAUCUCGAGUUUGGGAGAGGUGAGUGGAACUGCGAGUGUAGAGGUGAAAUUCGUAGAUAUUCGCAAGAACACCAGUGGCGAAGGCGGCUCACUGGCCCGAUACUGACGCUGAGGCACGAAAGCGUGGGGAGCAAACAGG